rnacentral:rRNA from 1 species
UCCUACGGGAGGCAGCAGUGGGGAAUUUUCCGCAUUGGGCGAAAGCCUGACGGAGCAACGCCGCGUGAGGGAUGAAGGCCUCUGGGCUGUAAACCUCUUUUCUCAAGGAAGAAGAUCUGACGGUACUUGAGGAAUAAGCCACGGCUAAUUCCGUGCCAGCAGCCGCGGUAAUACGGGAGUGGCAAGCGUUAUCCGGAAUUAUUGGGCGUAAAGCGUCCGUAGGCGGCUUUUCAAGUCUGCUGUUAAAAAGUGGAGCUUAACUCCAUCAAGGCAGUGGAAACUGAUUGGCUUGAGUGUGGUAGGGGCAGAGGGAAUUCCCGGUGUAGCGGUGAAAUGCGUAGAUAUCGGGAAGAACACCAGUGGCGAAGGCGCUCUGCUGGGCCAUAACUGACGCUCAUGGACGAAAGCCAGGGGAGCGAAAGGGAUUAGAUACCCCUGUAGUCCUGGCCGUAAACGAUGAACACUAGGUGUCGGGGGAAUCGACCCCCUCGGUGUCGUAGCCAACGCGUUAAGUGUUCCGCCUGGGGAGUACGCACGCAAGUGUGAAACUCAAAUGAAUUGACGG